GCUGCGGUAAUUUGACUGUACUAAGGUAGCACAAUCAUUUGCCCUUUAAUUGUGGGCUGGUAUGAAUGGGUAAACGAGGGUAAAGCUGUCUCUUGUAUAUGACUAAAAGUUAAACUUUAAGUGAAUAUGCUUAAAUAGGGGUAAAAGACAAGAAGACCCCAAGAGCUUUAAUAAAAUCUCAGAUAAGGCUAUAUUUGAGUGUUAUUUUGGUUGGGGCGACAGAGGACUAAACUAUAGCGUCUUUUUUAGUGAAGAAUUUGAUUCUUUGUUGAUCCGUUGUGCGAUUAGAAGAAGUAGCUACCUUGGGGAUAACAGGCUAAUUUAUUCGGAGAGUCCCUAUUGAUGAAUUAAGUUUGGCACCUCGAUGUUGGCUCAGAGUUUCCCACAGGUGCAGGAGUUUGU
rnacentral:rRNA from 1 species